GAGGGUCUGUCCCCCGCCGCCUCCGCCGCUGCUCCCGGGGCUCAUGGGCGCGUGGUGGCUCCUCGGCGGGGCCCCGCCGGCCGCUGCUCCCCAGCCCUGGCCGCUGCCCCCGCCGUACUGCGAGACCAUGUCGGCGGCGCCCUUGGCGGCGGCCGCCCCGUCCUGCGGCCCGGCGCUAUAGUCGCCCCCGGGGUAGCCCUGCAGGCACCCAGGAAGGUGGGGCAGAACUUUAAUCCCCUCAUUAUUUCUACGCUGGGUGGUGGAAUCAAAAAGCGAGAGCCUGAUCACGAGCAGAGGCAGGGCAGGGCAGGGUAGAAGCUCCUUCUCCCGGCGUGGCUGUGACAGCAGCUCAGCGAGACACCACGUGGGAAAGCCGGGUUCGGGAU